rnacentral:lncRNA from 1 species
CGAUGAUGACGCCCUCUUCUCUCCAUUGACGAUACGACGCCCUCUCUUUCUCCUCAUCCUUCUUCGCUCAAUCAACGACGACGACACCUGCUUUCUCUCCUCUUCCUUAUUUGCUCCAUUAACAACGACACCCUCUCUCUCAUCUUCCUUCUUUUUACGCGAAGCUCUGUUUUUCAUCUAGUGAGAUAUGUGUUUUCUAUAUCAGAUUCUUAUUUCAAUUUUGUAGAUCUGUUAGGCCAACCUAUAUGGAUCUAACAAUAGAUCCGUUAUUUCAAUUUUCUAGAUCAGAUUCUUCUCAAGCAAAGUUUCUGUAUCUAUUGAUUUAUUAAGACUAUAUGGAUCUAACAAUUCGUUAGGCCAGCCUUGUCAUUGGUGUGGGAUGAAAUGAUUUGGCUUUAAUUCACAUUUAUAAAUAAGUUUUGAACUCUGCUUGAUUGCCUGAAUGGAAGGUUUGGACAUACAUCCUUAAUUCUUGAUAAUUUUUCAUUUUCAUUUGUCUAACGUUCUAAUAUUGGUCUCAUAGAACUUUUGAGAUUGAAGAGAUUGCAAAUUGUAACAAUGUAGUUGGUAGGAAUUAAGCUAUUUUUUUAGGUGAGAAACUAUUGUUCUAUGUUCUGAAUUUUCCUCUUAGAAAAGCAUUAGUCUAAUUACAUAGAAUACUCUUUAAAGAUCCCAAUUACAUCACUGUAUGAAAAUUCCUCCUUGAGAGUGCCCUCUACACUUGUGUAACGGAAAUAUUGAACUAAUACUAAAUUAUUAGUUACAACAUUAGGCAUUAUUCUUUGCUCCAUCAAGCUGCUUAUUUGAUUUGUCAUGCAAUGUUGUUUGAUUCCUUUGGUUGUUGACUUUGCUUUGUGUAUGACAUGUUAGGUUGGCUCCUAUCAUUCAUCUUCGUUAUUGGUGGCUUCUAGACCUCCAACCCUUGGUGUUCUUAGUCGAGGGAUUGGUCUAGAAGGUCUUUCUAGUGUCUUGGCUGGUCUAUGGGGUACUGGAAAAGGCUCCACAAGUUUAACUGAAAAUGUGCACACACUAGCUACCACUAAGAUGGGAAGCCGUAGAGGUGUUGAAUUGGGCGCAUGCGUUUUGAUUGUCUUAUCCCUUGUCGGUAAGUG